CCUACGGGUGGCAGCAGUGGGGAAUAUUGCGCAAUGGGCGAAAGCCUGACGCAGCGACGCCGCGUGAGGGAUGAAGGUCUUCGGAUCGUAAACCUCUGUCAGCAGGGAAGAACGGUCACUGUGCUAAUCAGCAGUGAAUUGACGGUACCUGCAAAGGAAGCACCGGCUAACUCCGUGCCAGCAGCCGCGGUAAGACGGAGGGUGCGAGCGUUAAUCGGAAUUACUGGGCGUAAAGCGCUCGUAGGCGGUAUGUCAAGUCAAGGGUGAAAUCCCCGCGCUCAACGUGGGAACUGCCUUUGAAACUGGCAAACUGGAGUGGGUGAGAGGAUAGUGGAAUUCCAGGUGUAGGAGUGAAAUCCGUAGAUAUCGGGAGGAACAUCAGUGGCGAAGGCGACUAUCUGGAACAUAACUGACGCUGAGGAGCGAAAGCGUGGGUAGCAAACAGGAUUAGAUACCCGGGUAGUC
rnacentral:rRNA from 1 species